CACUUCCUGACCUUUGUUUCUGAUACAUUCUUUGAGAGGACAUCUCCACCUACCCCGUCACCUGGAUUGGAUCACCAGCCUCUCCCAAGAUGGGCCUGGCUUCCUCCUUGCUGGGGAAAGGAACAGGCAAUUCCACGGAGACGUCGUGCAGAUUGGCGGUGGCCAGGCUCCGGUGGAGGGAGGUGGCAGGCAAUGGAGAGUGGCUGCUGGCAGGCGUGGGGCUUCUCAGAAGAAAAAUGUUCUAAAAUUACCUUGUGGCUAUGGUUCCACACACUGAGACUAUACUAAAACCACUGUUUCAUCGCUGCUGUGCUGUUGACCUGCAGACACGCUCCAGGGCCAUGUCCAGCAUGCAUGACAGUGUCCUCCCCGGUACCCACUGACUGCAGUGGCUGAGCUUUGCUGUCUGGGUAAAUUACAUAAAAUCGUGUGCAAGGCUCCAUUGGAGGUCCUCUGGCACCACCACGUGGCUGGGCUGAGAGUCCCCAGCCUGCUUGGCUGAGUUCCUCACCAGAUGCUUUCACACUUCUCUGAUUCUGGAGUAAAAUUUCUGAGGUGUGUCGUCAUUUGUAAUCGGUUAGAAUAUUUGUCACAGUCCUCCUAGUUUGAGAUUUCCUCAAGUCCUAGUUGAGUUUGUAUUUACUCUGCAUACAAUAAAUUUGAGUUUUUGGCUUUUCUGUGUCUUUCCACAACUUGGGAAUGCAAUCAGAAAUCUUCCACCCACUACCACACGGAACAAUUCCAUCACUCAUCAACCCACUCCCAAACCCUUGGAAGCCCU
rnacentral:lncRNA from 1 species